rnacentral:misc_RNA from 1 species
CAGAACCAACUGUACCAGACACAGCAAUAGAAUUUGCAACAAAGAUCAGCAAAAAUGGCAAAGCCAAAAGAAAUAGCUUGAAGUCGAACACCAUCUGCUGAGACUGCAAAGAAAGCAGAAGAACGACGACACCGAGAAAUGCGAGCAGCGGCAUAGGCGGGAGAGACAUGGAAGCCAUUGUUCUCUCAGCCCAUCCAUACUUCCACUCGGGACCUCUUUCCUCCACCACCCAACUCAUGGUGUCUUUCCAGGUUAGAAGCUUUUCUUUUACUGUUUGGUGUAACAAUCUGCACAAUAGACAGAGAAUCUG